rnacentral:rRNA from 1 species
UACAGAGGGUGCGAGCGUUAAUCGGAAUUACUGGGCGUAAAGCGUGCGUAGACGGUAGCGUAAGUCAGAUGUGAAAGCCCCGGGCUCAACCUGGGAAUUGCAUUUGAGACUGCUCUGCUCGGGUGCGGAAGAGGGAAGCGGAAUUUCCGGUGUAGCGGUGAAAUGCGUAGAUAUCGGAAGGAACGCCCGUGGCGAAAGCGAGAUCCUGGACGUUUUCUGACGCUGAGACGCGAAAGCUAGGGGAGCAAACGGG